rnacentral:rRNA from 1 species
GUACUUCUUACAAUUGCGAUGGGGGGACGGAGAAGGCUAGGUGGGCCUGGCGACGGUUGUCCAGGUUCAAGUACGUAGGCGGGUGGUUUAGGUAAAUCCGGACCGCUACUAACGCUGAGAUACGAUGUCGAGCUACUACGGUAGUGAAGUCAUUGAUGCCAUGCUUCCAGGAAAAGCCUCUAAGCUUCAGAUUGUAAGGAAUCGUACCCCAAACCGACACAGGUGGUCGGGUAGAGAAUACCAAGGCGCUUGAGAGAACUCGGGUGAAGGAACUAGGCAAAAUGGUACCGUAACUUCGGGAGAAGGUACGCUCUUAUCAGUGAAGUCCCUUGCGGAUGGAGCAGACGAGAGUCGCAGAUACCAGGUGGCUGCAACUGUUUAUUAAAAACACAGCACUGUGCAAAAUCGUAAGAUGACGUAUACGGUGUGACGCCUGCCCGGUGCCGGAAGGUUAAUUGAUGGGGUUAGACUUCGGUCGAAGCUCUUGAUCGAAGCCCCGGUAAACGGCGGCCGUAACUAUAACGGUCCUAAGGUAGCGAAAUUCCUUGUCGGGUAAGUUCCGACCUGCACGAAUGGCGUAAUGAUGGCCACGCUGUCUCCACCCGAGACUCAGUGAAAUUGAAAUCGCUGUGAAGAUGCAGUGUACCCGCGGCUAGACGGAAAGACCCCGUGAACCUUUACUACAGCUUGGCACUGAACAUUGAACCUACAUGUGUAGGAUAGGUGGGAGACUUUGAAACCGCGUCGCUAGAUGUGGUGGAGUCGUCCUUGAAAUACCACCCUUGUAGUUUUGAUGUUCUAACGUUGGUCCCUGAAUCGGGAUUACGGACAGUGCCUGGUGGGUAGUUUGACUGGGGCGGUCUCCUCCCAAAGAGUAACGGAGGAGCACGAAGGUGGGCUAAACACGGUUGGACAUCGUGUGGUUAGUGCAAUGGCAUAAGCCCGCUUGACUGCGAGAAUGACAAUUCGAGCAGGUGCGAAAGCAGGUCAUAGUGAUCCGGUGGUUCUGAAUGGAAGGGCCAUCGCUCAACGGAUAAAAGGUACUCCGGGGAUAACAGGCUGAUACCGCCCAAGAGUUCAUAUCGACGGCGGUGUUUGGCACCUCGAUGUCGGCUCAUCACAUCCUGGGGCUGAAGUCGGUCCCAAGGGUAUGGCUGUUCGCCAUUUAAAGUGGUACGCGAGCUGGGUUUAGAACGUCGUGAGACAGUUCGGUCCCUAUCUGCCGUGGGCGUUGGAAAAUUGAAAGGGGCUGCUCCUAGUACGAGAGGACCGGAGUGGACGAACCUCUGGUGUUCGGGUUGUCAUGCCAAUGGCAUUGCCCGGUAGCUAAGUUCGGAAUCGAUAACCGCUGAAAGCAUCUAAGCGGGAAGCGAGCCUUGAGAUGAGUUUUCCCUGGCGCUAUAAGCGUCCUAAAGGGUUGUCGUAGACUACGACGUUGAUAGGCAGGGUGUGUAAGUGCUGCGAGGCAUUGAGCUAACCUGUACUAAUUGCCCGUGAGGCUUAACCA